rnacentral:rRNA from 1 species
AUUGAACGCUGGCGGCAGGCCUAACACAUGCAAGUCGAGCGGGGUUUUCGGACCUAGCGGCGGACGGGUGAGUAAUGCCUGGGAAAUUGCCCAGUCGAGGGGGAUAACAGUUGGAAACGACUGCUAAUACCGCAUACGCCCUACGGGGGAAAGCAGGGGACCUUCGGGCCUUGCGCGAUUGGAUAUGCCCAGGUGGGAUUAGCUAGUUGGUGAGGUAAUGGCUCACCAAGGCGACGAUCCCUAGCUGGUCUGAGAGGAUGAUCAGCCACACUGGAACUGAGACACGGUCCAGACUCCUACGGGAGGCAGCAGUGGGGAAUUUUGGACAAUGGGGGAAACCCUGAUCCAGCAAUGCCGCGUGAGUGAAGAAGGCCUUCGGGUUGUAAAGCUCUUUUGUCAGGGAAGAAACACCGGCUCUAACACAGUCCGGGAAUGACGGUACCUGAAGAAUAAGCACCGGCUAACUACGUG